CUCCAUUGUCCCCAUGUCCCACCCCCUCCAUGAUGUCCCCUCCAUGGUGUCCCCAUGUCCCAUUCCCUCCAUCAUGUCCUCAUAUCCCAUCCCCUCCAUCAUGUCCCCUCCAUCGUGUCCCUUCCAUUGUCCCCCAUGUCCCAUCUCCUCCAUCAUGUCACCCGCAUCGUCCCCAUGUCAUAUCUCCUCCAUGGUGUCCCCUCCAUCAUGUCCCCAUGUCAUAUCCUCUCCAUCAUGCCCCCAUGUCCCACCCCCUCCAUGGUGUCCCCUCCAUCAUGUCCCACCUCCUCCAUGGUGUCCCCUCCAUGGUGUCUCCUCCAUCAUGUCCCCCAUGUCAUAUCUCCUCCAUGGUGUCCCCUCCAUCAUGUCCCAUCUCCUCCAUGGUGUCCCCUCCAUCAUGUCCCCCAUGUCCAUCUCCUCCAUGGUGUCCUCUCCAUCAUGUCCCAUCUCCUCCAUGGUGUCCCCUCCAUGGUGUCCCCAUGUCAUAUCUCCUCCAUGGUGUCCCCUCCAUGGUGUCCCCUUGUCCCAUUCCCUCCAUCAUGUCCCCAAGUCAUAUCUCCUCCUUGGUGUCCCCUCCAUCAUGUCCCCCAUGUCCAUCUCCUCCAUGGUGUCCCCAUGUCCCAUCUCCUCCAUGGAUGUCCCAUCCCCUCCAUGGUGUCCUCUCCAUCAUGUCCCCAUGUCCCAUCUCCUCCAUGGUGUCCCCUCCAUCAUGUCCCCCAUGUCCCAUCUCCUCCAUCGUGUCCCCUCCAUUGUCCCCAUGUCAUAUCCCCUCCAUGGUGUCCUCUCCAUGGUGUCCCCUCCAUCAUGUCUCCUCCAUCGCAUCCCUUACCUUGUCCCCAUGUCAUAUCUCCUCCAUGAUGUCCCCUCCAUGGUGUCCCCAUGUCAUAUCUCCCCCAUCAUGUCCCCUCCAUUGUCCCCAUGUCCCACCCCCUCCAUGGUGUCCCCUCCAUCAUGUCCCCUCCAUUGUCCCCAUGUCCCACCCCCUCCAUGGUGUCCCCUCCAUCAUGUCCCCUCCAUUGUCCCCAUGUCCCACCCCCUCCAUGGUGUCCCCUCCAUCAUGUCCCCUCCAUUGUCCCCAUGUCCCACCCCCUCCAUGGUGUCCCCUCCAUCAUGUCCCCUCCAUUGUCCCCAUGUCCCACCCCCUCCAUGGUGUCCCCUCCAUCAUGUCCCCUCCAUUGUCCCCAUGUCCCACCCCCUCCAUGGUGUCCCCUCCAUCAUGUCCCCUCCAUUGUCCCCAUGUCCCACCCCCUCCAUGGUGUCCCCUCC
rnacentral:lncRNA from 1 species